rnacentral:rRNA from 1 species
GACGAACGCUGGCGGCGUGCUUAACACAUGCAAGUCGAACGGAAAGGCCCUGCUUUUGUGGGGUGCUCGAGUGGCGAACGGGUGAGUAACACGUGAGUAACCUGCCCUUGACUUUGGGAUAACUUCAGGAAACUGGGGCUAAUACCGGAUAGGAGCUCCUGCUGCAUGGUGGGGGUUGGAAAGUUUCGGCGGUUGUGGAUGGACUCGCGGCUUAUCAGCUUGUUGGUGUGGUAGUGGCUUACCAAGGCUUUGACGGGUAGCCGGCCUGAGAGGGUGACCGGCGACAAUGGGACUGAGAUGCGGCCCAGACUCCUACGGGAGGCAGCAGUGGGGAAUAUUGCACAAUGGGCGGAAGCCUGAUGCAGCAACGCCGCGUGCGGGAUGCCGGCCUUCGGGUUGUAAACCGCUUUCGCCUGUGACGAAGCGUGAGUGACGGUAAUGGGUAAAGAAGCACCGGCUAACUACGUG